AUGGCUCAGGAUGAACGCUAGCGGCAGGCUUAACACAUGCAAGUCGAGGGGCAGCGGGAUGUAGCAAUACAUUGCCGGCGACCGGCGGAUGGGUGCGUAACGCGUAUGCAACCUACCUUAUACAGGGGAAUAACCUUUCGAAAGGGAGACUAACACCCCAUGGUAUUGAUUUAAGGCAUCUUAGAUUAAUUAAAUAUUUAUAGGUAUAAGAUGGGCAUGCGUAUGAUUAGCUAGUUGGUAAGGUAACGGCUUACCAAGGCGACGAUCAUUAGGGUUCUGAGAGGAAGGUCCCCCACACUGGUACUGAGACACGGACCAGACUCCUACGGGAGGCAGCAGUGAGGAAUAUUGGUCAAUGGGCGCAAGCCUGAACCAGCCAUGCCGCGUGCAAGGAAGACGGCCUUAUGGGUUGUAAACUGCUUUUACAUAAGACUAACCGUAUAUUUGCGAAUAUACCUGAAUGUAUUAUGAGAAUAAGGAUCGGCUAACUCCGUGCCAGCCGCAGC
rnacentral:rRNA from 1 species